rnacentral:rRNA from 1 species
GUCUCUGGCUGUCCGAGUUGUAAUCUAGAGAAGUAAUGCCCGUGCUGGACCGUGUAUAAGUCUCCUGGGAUGGGGCGUCAUAGAGGGUGAGAAUCCCGUCUUUGACACGGACUACCAGUACAUUGUGGUAUGCUCUCAAAGAGUCGAGUUGUUUGGGAAUGCAGCUCAAAAUGGGUGGUAAAUUCCAUCUAAAGCUAAAUAUUGGCGAGAGACCGAUAGCGAACAAGUACCGUGAGGGAAAGAUGAAAAGAACUUUGGAAAGAGAGUUAAACAGUACGUGAAAUUGCUGAAAGGGAAACGCUUGAAGUCAGUCGCGUUGGCCAGGGAUCAGCCUUGCUUUUGCAUGGUGUACUUUCUGGUUGACGGGUCAGCAUCAAUUUUGAUUGCUGGAAAAGGGCCUGGGGAAUGUGGCAGCUUCGGCUGUGUUAUAGCCCCUGGUCGCAUACAGCAGUUGGGAUUGAGGAACUCAGCACGCCGCAAGGCCGGGUUUCGACCACGUUCGUGCUUAGGAUGCUGGCAUAAUGGCUUUAAGCGACCCGUCUUGAAACACGGACCAAGGAGUCUAACAUGCCUGCGAGUAUUUGGGUGGAAAACCCAAGUGCGUAAUGAAAGUGAAAGUUGAGAUCCCUGUCGUGGGGAGCAUCGACGCCCGGACCAGAACUUUUGGGACGGAUCCGCGGUGGAGCAUGUAUGUUGGGACCCGAAAGAUGGUGAACUAUGCCUGAAUAGGGUGAAGCCAGAGGAAACUCUGGUGGAGGCUCGUAGCGAUUCUGACGUGCAAAUCGAUCGUCAAAUUUGGGUAUAGCGGCUGAAAGACUAAUCUAACCAUCAAUUAGCUGGUUCCUGCCGAA